UACGUAGGGUGCGAGCGUUAAUCGGAAUUACUGGGCGUAAAGCGUGCGCAGGCGGUUCGUUGUGUCGGCGGUGAAAGCCCCGGGCUUAACCUGGGAAUGGCCGUCGAAACUGGCGAACUGGAGUGUGGCAGAGGGGGGUGGAAUUCCGCGUGUAGCAGUGAAAUGCGUAGAGAUGCGGAGGAACACCGAUGGCGAAGGCAGCCCCCCUGGGCCAACACUGACGCUCAUGCACGAAAGCGUGGGGAGCAAACAGG
rnacentral:rRNA from 1 species